rnacentral:rRNA from 1 species
CCUACGGGUGGCAGCAGUGAGGACUAUUGGUCAAUGGGCGAGAGCCUGAACCAGCCAAGUCGCGUGAGGGAAGACGGUCCUAUGGAUUGUAAACCUCUUUUGCCGGGGAGCAAACAGCGGUACGCGUACCGCAUCGAGAGUACCCGGAGAGACAGCAUCGGUUAACUCCGUGCCAGCCGCCGCGGUAAUACGGAGGAUGCGAGCGUUAUCCGGAUUUAUUGGGUUUAAAGGGUGCGCAGGCGUCGAGUUAAGUCAGCGGUAAAAUUUCGGGGCUCAAACCCGACAAGCCGUUGAAACUGGUGUGCUAGAGUGGGCGAGAAGUAUGCGGAAUGCGUGGUGUAGCGGUGAAAUGCAUAGAUAUCACGCAGAACUCCGAUUGCGAAGGCAGCAUACCGGCGCCCAACUGACGCUCAGGCACGAAAGCGUGGGUAUCGAACAGGAUGAGAUACCCUUGUAGUC